rnacentral:misc_RNA from 1 species
CUUAACCCUCGUGGAUGAGUGGUGUGGGUAAUCUAUGAAUAUUCACAAUCACAGUUUUGGGGAGGUCAUUGGUAUGGAGGCUGCUGUUGUGAGCUUUAAACUUGGUUGAAGUAUUAGAUAAACAGCAGCACCGCAGUAGUGGUGCAGUCAGACUCCCAGGUCAUCCAAUGGUGGANGGUGGAGUUAUCUUAAUGCUAAUUAUUGUCAAAAUGUUGUUUUACUAUUUUAUUUCCACCGCCAUUCGGAUACUGUUUUUAACAUUUGGUCACAACAAAGCUCGAUGCUGGUCCUCGCCCAUUUAGUACCACCUGAGCCAAGGCGACAGAGAAAUCUCUUCGCAACUAAGCAUUGGUCCCAAAUUAUUCAAAAUGUUUCUUAGUAGUGUUCAUCAUUUGAACGUGACAAGGGAUAUCUUAUAUACUUGAAUACCAGACGAGUGUCUCUUU